GAUGAACGCUAGCGGCAGGCUUAAUACAUGCAAGUCGAGGGGCAGCAGGUCUGUAGCAAUACAGAUGCUGGCGACCGGCAAACGGGUGCGGAACACGUACAGAACCUUCCUUCGAGCGGGGAAUAGCCCAGAGAAAUUUGGAUUAAUACCCCAUAGUAUAUUGAAAAGGCAUCUUUUUAAUAUUAAAGAUUUAUCACUUGAAGAUGGCUGUGCGGCUGAUUAGAUAGUUGGCGGGGUAAUGGCCCACCAAGUCUGCGAUCAGUAACUGGUGUGAGAGCACGACCAGUCACACGGGCACUGAGACACGGGCCCGACUCCUACGGGAGGCAGCAGUAAGGAAUAUUGGUCAAUGGACGAAAGUCUGAACCAGCCAUGCCGCGUGGAGGAUGAAGGUCCUCUGGAUUGUAAACUUCUUUUAUAUGGGACGAAAAAGGGUUUGCUAACUCGUCUGACGGUACCAUAUGAAUAAGCACCGGCUAACUCCGUGCCAG
rnacentral:rRNA from 1 species